rnacentral:rRNA from 1 species
UACGUAGGGUGCGAGCGUUGUCCGGAAUUAUUGGGCGUAAAGAGCUUGUAGGCGGUUUGUCGCGUCUGCUGUGAAAAUCCGGGGCUCAACCCCGGACUUGCAGUGGGUACGGGCAGACUAGAGUGUGGUAGGGGAGACUGGAAUUCCUGGUGUAGCGGUGAAAUGCGCAGAUAUCAGGAGGAACACCGAUGGCGAAGGCAGGUCUCUGGGCCACUACUGACGCUGAGAAGCGAAAGCAUGGGGAGCGAACAGGAUUAGAUACCCCU